GCCCGCCUAGCUCAACGGUUAGAGUAACUUGCACUUUGCCUGUUGGCUGCGAGUUCGACUCUCGCGGCGUGCU